rnacentral:lncRNA from 1 species
UUGCUGUGUCUGAGCAAAAUGGGAAAGCAGCAGCUCACACUGUGUGUGGAGUUUGGAGUUACACACUAAAGAACUGCAGGAUUACAGAUACAUGAAAAAUAUAAAAGCUAAAAUCCUAAGGCAUCAGUAGCCAGCCUCAACCUACACUGCUUGUUGCUCUCCUCUGCCUUUGGAGCUGGCUGCAGUGGGCACAGAGCUGAGUUCAGGCUGCUGGCUUGAGCACAGGGGUCCUGCCCUGCCAGACUCUGCUCUGCACCCAGGGCAGGACUUCAGUCCCUGCUGCUCCAGGAGAGCCUUUGGGGGACUUCUGCUCCUCAAACCCUUGCCAGACAAGGAGGUGUAGAGGUAUUAGGGAGAUUUUUGACCAAAAGUGGUCAAAGAAAUGUAUCAUUCUGGCUGUUUGUGCUUAUUGUUUGUACUUGUGUGGAACAUCUAAGGAAACCAAGCUUUGCUUCCGCCCUUCACAUUCCUGAACAGCAAGAAACACCCACACCAAGUGCCUCUUUGGAUUUCCUGGCAGCAAGCUGAGUUGUGGCUUUUUGAGGCUGCAGGAGGCUGAUUUACACAUUCUCCCAUCAGCUCACCUCUCCCCAGCCCGUGGGAUGCUGAGGGCCCUGCUCCACAGCUCUUGCAGGUGGAAUAACUCAUUGCCCAGGUGGGAGAUCCAAGAGAGAGCAGUGAGAAGAGACUUUAUUGCACUGUGUGGUGAAAGAAGGGAGAAAACCGUGAGCUGCUGACACCUCUGGUCUUGCAAAGAAGAGCAGAGCAGAAGGAAUGGUUGGAAAGUCAGGAACAGACUGGACUCCAUGUCCUUCCCAUCUAUGAUGCAACACAUGUUCUUCAGCCCCCAGAGGCCAGCAGGAAAUACGUGAGUCUAAAAGUGAAGAAAAUUCAUUAUUUACAUGCAGCAUCAAACUUCCUCUUGAUGUUACACAGGCAUCUUCCUGCUGUCUCACUCCUACUAAAAUCUCUCCCUCUGAGCCUCUGGUUCAACCCAGAGACUAACAAGGGGAGCAAGUGGUAAGUGUGAUGUGUAACUCAUAGAAAGACUGCUUAAAAAAAAGGUUUGCAAUAAAAAUGCUCUGGUACUUCA